rfam:Martelella endophytica strain YC6887, complete genome.
GGGUGAUUAGCUCAGUUGGUAGAGCAGCUGACUCUUAAUCAGCGGGUCGUAGGUUCGAGACCUACAUCACCCA